rnacentral:rRNA from 1 species
AUUGAACGCUGGCGGCAGGCCUAACACAUGCAAGUCGAGCGAGCGGCGGACUGGUGCGUCAUGUAUGUGGCCUGCCCGAUAGAGGGGGAUUACUACUGGAAACGGUAGCUAAUACCGCAUACUAUCGGAUACCCCACUUUGGAUUAGCUAGUAGGUGAGGUAAUGGCUCCCCUAGGCGGCGAUCGCUGGCUGGUCUGAGAGGAUGAUCGGCCAGACGGGGACUGAGACACGGCCCAGACUCCUACGGAGGCAGCAGUGGGGAAUAUUGCACGAUGGGGGAGAGGCUGAUGCAGCCAUGCCGCGUGUAGGAAGAUGGCCCGAGGGUUGUAAAGUGCUUUCGGUCGGGAGGCGUUACCGAAAGAAGAAGCACCGGCUAACUCCGUGCCAGCAGCCGCGGUAAUAC